UACGUAGGUGGCAAGCGGUGUCCGGAAUUACUGGAUGUAAAGGGCGUGUAGGCGGGAAAGCAAGUCAGAUGUGAAAUCCCAUGGCUUAACUGUGGAGCUGCAUCUGAAACUGUUUUUCUUGAGUAUCGGAGAGGAAAGUGGAAUUCCAAGUGUAGCGGUGAAAUGCGUAGAGAUUUGGAGGAACACCAGUGGCGAAGGCGGCUUUCUGGACGAUAACUGACGCUGAGGCGCGAAAGCGUGGGGAGCAAACAGG
rnacentral:rRNA from 1 species